rnacentral:tRNA from 2 species
GCGACGGUAACUCAGCUGGGAGAGUGCCAGACUGAAGAUCUGGAAGUCGCCGGUUCAAGCCCGGCCCGUCGCA